GUGGGAUGAGGUAGUAGAUUGUAUAGUUUUAGGGUCACACCCGAUCUCGGAGAUAACUAUACAGUCUACUGUCUUUCCCAC
rfam:Sarcophilus harrisii ctg7180001645327, whole genome shotgun sequence.